rnacentral:rRNA from 1 species
UGGGGAAUAUUGGACAAUGGGCGAAAGCCUGAUCCAGCCAUGCCGCGUGUGUGAAGAAGGUCUUCGGAUUGUAAAGCACUUUAAGUUGGGAGGAAGGGCAGUAAGUUAAUACCUUGCUGUUUUGACGUUACCGACAGAAUAAGCACCGGCUAACUCUGUGCCAGCAGCCGCGGUAAUACAGAGGGUGCAAGCGUUAAUCGGAAUUACUGGGCGUAAAGCGCGCGUAGGUGGUUUGUUAAGUUGGAUGUGAAAGCCCCGGGCUCAACCUGGGAACUGCAUCCAAAACUGGCAAGCUAGAGUACGGUAGAGGGUGGUGGAAUUUCCUGUGUAGCGGUGAAAUGCGUAGAUAUAGGAAGGAACGCCAGUGGCGAAGGCGACCACCUGGACUGAUACUGACACUGAGGUGCGAAAGCGUGGGGAGCAAACA